rnacentral:rRNA from 1 species
UGGGGAAUUUUGGACAAUGGGGGAAACCCUGAUCCAGCCAUCCCGCGUGUGCGAUGAAGGCCUUCGGGUUGUAAAGCACUUUUGGCAGGAAAGAAACGUCGCGGGUUAAUACCCCGCGAAACUGACGGUACCUGCAGAAUAAGCACCGGCUAACUACGUGCCAGCAGCCGCGGUAAUACGUAGGGUGCAAGCGUUAAUCGGAAUUACUGGGCGUAAAGCGUGCGCAGGCGGUUCGGAAAGAAAGAUGUGAAAUCCCAGAGCUUAACUUUGGAACUGCAUUUUUAACUACCGGGCUAGAGUGUGUCAGAGGGAGGUGGAAUUCCGCGUGUAGCAGUGAAAUGCGUAGAUAUGCGGAGGAACACCGAUGGCGAAGGCAGCCUCCUGGGAUAACACUGACGCUCAUGCACGAAAGCGUGGGGAGCAAACAGGAUUAGAUACCCUGGUAGUCCACGCCCUAAACGAUGUCAACUAGCUGUUGGGGCCUUCGGGCCUUGGUAGCGCAGCUAACGCGUGAAGUUGACCGCCUGGGGAGUACGGUCGCAAGAUUAAAACUUAAAGGAAUUGACGGGGGUGCAUAGCUGUUUCCC